rnacentral:pre_miRNA from 1 species
UGAGGCAACCAGGUGCCACUAAUUGCCAGGGAGUGAGCAUGAGCUUGUGUCUCACUCCCUGGCAAUUAGUGGCACCUGGUUGCCUCAUUUCACU